rnacentral:rRNA from 1 species
CCCUUAGAUGUUCUGGGCUGCACGCGCGCUACUCUGAUGCACUCAACGAGUUUACGACCUUGCCCGAUAGGGUUGGGUAAUCUUUUUAAAAUGCAUCGUGAUGGGGAUAGAUUAUUGCAAUUAUUAAUCUUCAACGAGGAAUUCCUAGUAAGCGCGAGUCAUCAGCUCGUGCUGAUUACGUCCCUGCCCUUUGUACACACCGCCCGUCGCUCCUACCGAUUGAGUGCUCAGGUGAAUAAUUCGGACUGCAGCAAUGUUUGGAUCCCGAACGUUGCAGCGGAAAGUUUAGUGAACCUUAUCACUUAGAGGAAGGAGAAGUCGUAACA